rnacentral:rRNA from 1 species
CCUACGGGCUGCAGCAGUGGUGAAUAUUGGGCAAUGGGCGCAAGCCUGACCCAGCAACGCCGCGUGAAGGAAGACGGCUUUCGGGUUGUAAACUUCUUUUGUCAGGGACGAAGCAAGUGACGGUACCUGACGAAUAAGCCACGGCUAACUAAGUGCCAGCAGCCGCGGUAAUCCGUAGGUUGCAAGCGUGAUCCGGAUUUACUGGGUGUAAAGGGCGUGUAGGCGGGACUGCAAGUCAGAUGUGAAAACGACGGGCUCAACCUGUUGCCUGCAGUUGAAACUGUAGUUCUUGAGUACAGGAGAGGAAGACGGAAUUCCUAGUGUAGCGGUGAAAUGCGUAGAGAUUAGGAGGAACACCAGUGGCGAAGGCGGUCUGCUGGACAGCAACUGACGCUGAGGCGCGAAAGCGUGGGGAGCAAACAGGAUUAGAUACCCUGGUAGUC